rnacentral:rRNA from 1 species
AGUUAAUCUGUACUGCAAGGUUAAGCGUAAGUGGAGCCGUAGCGAAAGCGAGUCUGAUAAGGGCGUUUAGUAGUGCGGAUUAGACCCGAAACCAGGUGAUCUAUCCAUGAGCAGGUUGAAGCAAGGGUAAAACCUUGUGGAGGACCGAACCAUUAACGGCUGAAAACGUUUUGGAUGACUUGUGGAUAGGGGUGAAAGGCCAAUCAAACCUGGUGAUAGCUGGUUCUCCCCGAAAUAUAUUGAGGUAUAGCCUCAUGGAUUGUCUACCGGAGGUAAAGCACUGACAGAGCUAGGGGUCCUACCAGAUUACCAAACUCUUUCAAACUCAGAAUGCCGGUCAGAUCUACCAUGGGAGUCAGACAGUGGGUGCUAAGGUCCAUUGUCGAGAGGGUAAGAGCCCAGAUCAACAGCUAAAGGUCUCCAAAUCUAUGCUCAGUGGUUAAGGUGGUGACGUUGUAGAGACACCCAGGACGUUGGCUUAGAAGCAGCCAUCGUUUAAAGAAAGCGUAAUAGCUCACUGGUCU